CUAACACCUAGAGAGCUGUAUUUUUCAAGACUGUUUUGUUGUAAGCAAUUACGCAUCUUCAUUUUUUAUGUGAAGCUAUAUUCAUUCAACCUGGAGUUUACUUUUAAGUAGUUUAGACCACACUUCAGAACUUAAUCACAUGAGUGGCUCCACCCUCACCUAAAGGUAAUGCUGCUUUUCCUGAAUGCUAUCUGAUUUGGCCCUGAGAGCUCACAAGCUACACCUGCUCACUAACUGAAGAUACAGUAGCAAAAACGAUUUCCUGAGUGGUUCAGAGUUGCUCACUUGCAUCAGCCCAAGACAUUUCCAAACCAAACCCUCCAAGUGGGUUGAGAGGGUAUGGUCUGUCUCCUCUGGUUCCUGACUAUUGAGUCCCACCAUGUCAGAACGUACAGCACAUCAAAAAGUCUGUGCAAUGCUCAAAAGUGAGAUGGGGAGAAGCUAGGUUGGCACGAUGAGAUAUUCUGCACAGCCCUUACUAAGCUGAUGCUCAGAUAAAUCCCUGCUGUCCAGUGUAAACUCCUUUACCUUCUACCUCCAAUUACCUCGUCUAAUGAUCCUCCAGCAAGAUGAGCUAUAUCCACUAUGCCCUAUCCUAUAUUCUUCAGGUGCCCUCUGUGCUCUGUCUGAAGUCAGCUCUGCAGGUGGCACUGUGUCCUGCCUGUUGGUGAGACAGCCAGGAGCACAGACAGCAAAGAGAGGCAGUCUUGAGACUCCAUCAUUUUAUCUGUUUGUUCGAAUGGAAAUGGAACAACGAAGUCCUCUGGGAGUUGUAGUUCACUCUUGUCUUCUGGGACCAGGAAACCAGAAAUGUUGACAAGCCACAGAACGGCAGUACUAACCCUUUAACUCCAGUGCACUGAGAGAUGUGAUGGUGUGGAAUACUGACCAAAAAACAUAAAACCAAGACAAGAGAGUGUCUCUUGGACUGAGGCUGCUUCCUGUGACGGAGUGCUGUGUAGCCAUGUAGCCAUAGUCCUUCACUAGUUGGGCAAUGCCCCUGACCAUGAGGCUUUCAGCUUUGCUCCUGUUGAUGUUUCCUCACUAUGAGCGUGAGACAACUCUGCGCUGAGCAGUUCAUCAGCAGGAUCUGCCUGGGAUGGAAGACCCUUU